rnacentral:rRNA from 1 species
GAUGAACGCUGGCGGCGUGCUUAACACAUGCAAGUCGAACGGAAAGGCCUCUGCUUGCAGAGGUACUCGAGUGGCGAACGGGUGAGUAACACGUGGGUGAUCUGCCCUGCACUUCGGGAUAAGCCUGGGAAACUGGGUCUAUACCGGAUAGGACGAUGGUUUGGAUGCCGUUGUGGAAAGUUUUUUCGGUGUGGGAUGAGCUCGCGGCCUAUCAGCUUGUUGGUGGGGUAAUGGCCUACCAAGGCGUCGACGGGUAGCCGGCCUGAGAGGGUGUACGGCCACAUUGGGACUGAGAUACGGCCCAGACUCCUACGGGAGGCAGCAGUGGGGAAUAUUGCACAAUGGGCGCAAGCCUGAUGCAGCGACGCCGCGUGGGGGAUGACGGCCUUCGGGUUGUAAACUCCUUUCGCCAGGGACGAAGCGUUUUUGUGACGGUACCUGGAGAAGAAGCACCGGCUAACUACGUGCCAGCAGCCGCGGUAAUACGUAGGGUGCGAGCGUUGUCCGGAAUUACUGGGCGUAAAGAGCUCGUAGGUGGUUUGUCGCGUCGUUUGUGUAAGCCCGCAGCUUAACUGCGGGACUGCAGGCGAUACGGGCAUAACUUGAGUGCUGUAGGGGAGACUGGAAUUCCUGGUGUAGCGGUGGAAUGCGCAGAUAUCAGGAGGAACACCGAUGGCGAAGGCAGGUCUCUGGGCAGUAACUGACGCUGAGGAGCGAAAGCAUGGGGAGCGAACAGGAUUAGAUACCCUGGUAGUCCAUGCCGUAAACGGUGGGCGCUAGGUGUGAGUCCCUUCCACGGGGUUCGUGCCGUAGCUAACGCAUUAAGCGCCCCGCCUGGGGAGUACGGCCGCAAGGCUAAAACCCAAAGGAAUUGACGGGGGCCCGCACAAGCGGCGGAGCAUGUGGAUUAAUUCGAUGCAACGCGAAGAACCUUACCUGGGCUUGACAUACACCAGAUCGCCGUAGAGAUACGGUUUCCCUUUGUGGUUGGUGUACAGGUGGUGCGUGGUUGUCGUCAGCUCGUGUCGUGAGAUGUUGGGUUAAGUCCCGCAACGAGCGCAACCCUUGUCUUAUGUUGCCAGCAAUUCGGUUGGGGACUCAUGAGAGACUGCCGGGGUUAACUCGGAGGAAGGUGGGGAUGACGUCAAAUCAUCAUGCCCCUUAUGUCCAGGGCUUCACACAUGCUACAAUGGUCGGUACAACGCGUCUUGCGAGCCUGUGAGGGUGUGCUAAUCGCUGAAAGCCGGCCUUAGUUCGGAUUGGGGUCUGCAACUCGACCCCAUGAAGUCGGAGUCGCUAGUAAUCGCAGAUCAGCAACGCUGCGGUGAAUACGUUCCCGGGCCU